GGGAGCUUAGAUGUGGAAGCUCUUUGGAAACCAAGAAACACUCUGAAAAUGAAAAGGGUGGAAGAGUAAACUGUUCCUGUUUCUCCAUCUUGACAGGAAGCAGAAGUUCUCCUUAGCUGAUUUUUCUUCUUGCCUUAUACUGGGUUCUUUAACACCAGAACAAAAAUAAAUAAAUAAAAGAAUCUUCCAGAAAUUCAUGAAGAGACUUCAGGUCAGGAAAGCCUGAACUUUCUCAUCCAACACCCGUUCAAGUCGGAGGAUGCUGAUUAAUUCAUGAUGGAAAGGUAUCAAUUUCACAGCCCAGACCUCUACAUUCUUGAAAUGCUCUUCUCAUGGGAGACAUUAAAUAAGCUUUGAAUUAACUUAAGCCCUUAAGUAAAAGUGCCAUCAAAUGAUUUCUCAGAAAUUAUAAAGAAACAAAAGGACCAUAAACAAGAUAAGGUGGCAUGAGGAAACAUUACAAGUACCUUUCAGAGCUGACUGGCAAAGAAACUCCUGAGGUGACGGUUCUACCCCAAUAUUACUUCUUCGAAGAGCAACCUAACUGACCUUGUAUUGAAGACAGCGUAACCCCCAAGAGGAAAGGAGCUUGGAGCCCUGAAUCAGAGUAGAAGACAGGCUGAAUGAAUACCAGCCUUGGACUGUUGUGUGAAUGAAAAACAAGUUUUGAGAUUUGUGUGGUUUA
rnacentral:lncRNA from 10 species